rnacentral:rRNA from 1 species
CCUACGGGAGGCAGCAGUGAGGAAUAUUGGUCAAUGGACGCGAGCCUGAACCAGCCAAGUCGCGUGAAGGAUGACUGCCCUAUGGGUUGUAAACUUCUUUUGUACGGGAAUAAAGUCAGACACGUGUGCCUGUCUGAAUGUACCUUACGAAUAAGGAUCGGCUAACUCCGUGCCAGCAGCCGCGGUAAUACGGAGGAUCCGGGCGUUAUCCGGAUUUAUUGGGUUUAAAGGGUGCGUAGGUGGGCGGUUAAGUUAGUUGUGAAAUUUCGCGGCUCAACCGCAGAAUUGCCAUUGAUACUGGCCGUCUUGAGAGGAGUUGAGGUAGGCGGAAUGUGUGGUGUAGCGGUGAAAUGCUUAGAGAUCACGCAGAACUCCGAUUGCGAAGGCAGCUUACCAAGCUGCCACUGACGUUGAGGCACGAAAGCGUGGGUAGCAAACAGGAUUAGAUACCCGAGUAGUC